rnacentral:rRNA from 1 species
UACAGAGGUCUCAAGCGUUGUUCGGAUUCAUUGGGCGUAAAGGGUGUGUAGGUGGCGCCGUAAGUCGGGUGUGAAAUUUCGGAGCUUAACUCCGAAACUGCAGUCGAUACUGCGGUGCUUGAGGACUGGAGAGGAGACUGGAAUUCAUGGUGUAGCAGUGAAAUGCGUAGAGAUCAUGAGGAAGACCGGUGGCGAAGGCGGGUCUCUGGACAGUUCCUGACGCUGAGACACGAAGGCCAGGGGAGCAAACGGG